GACGAACGCUGGCGGCGUGCCUAAUACAUGCAAGUAGAACGCUGAAGACUUUAGCUUGCUAAAGUUGGAAGAGUUGCGAACGGGUGAGUAACGCGUAGGUAACCUGCCUACUAGCGGGGGAUAACUAUUGGAAACGAUAGCUAAUACCGCAUAACAGCAUUUAACCCAUGUUAGAUGCUUGAAAGGAGCAAUUGCUUCACUAGUAGGUGGACCUGCGUUGUAUUAGCUAGUUGGUGAGGUAACGGCUCACCAAGGCGACGAUACAUAGCCGACCUGAGAGGGUGAUCGGCCACACUGGGACUGAGACACGGCCCAGACUCCUACGGGAGGCAGCAGUAGGGAAUCUUCGGCAAUGGGGGCAACCCUGACCGAGCAACGCCGCGUGAGUGAAGAAGGUUUUCGGAUCGUAAAGCUCUGUUGUAAGAGAAGAACGUGUGUGAGAGUGGAAAGUUCACAC
rnacentral:rRNA from 1 species